rnacentral:rRNA from 1 species
AUUGAACGCUGGCGGAAUGCCUAACACAUGCAAGUCGAGCGGGGUAGCAAUACCCAGCGGCGGACGGGUGAGGAAUACAUAGGAAUCUGCCUUUAGGUGGGGGAUAGCUUGGGGAAACUCAAGGUAAUACCGCAUGAUCUCGCAAGAGCAAAGUGGGGGACCGCAAGGCCUCACGCCUUUAGAGGAGCCUAUGUCUGAUUAGCUAGUUGGUGAGGUAAUGGCUCACCAAGGCGACGAUCAGUAACUGGUC